rnacentral:rRNA from 1 species
UACGUAGGCAGCGAGCGUUGUUCGGAGUUACUGGGCGUAAAGAGCGUGUAGGCGGCCAUACAGGUCAGCUGUGAAAACUCGAGGCUCAACCUCGAGACGUCGGUUGAAACCGUAUGGCUAGAGUCCGGAAGAGGAGAGUGGAAUUCCCGGUGUAGCGGUGAAAUGCGCAGAUAUCGGGAAGAACACCCGUGGCGAAGGCGGCUCUCUGGGACGGUACUGACGCUGAGACGCGAAAGCGUGGGGAGCGAACAGG